ACCAAUAGGGGAACGUGAGCUGGGUUUAGACCGUCGUGAGACAGGUUAGUUUUACCCUACUGUGAUAUGUUGUUGCGAUAGUAAUCCUGCUCAGUACGAGAGGAACCGCAGGUUCAGACAUUUGGUUCAUGUGCUUGGCCGAUCGGCCAAUGGUGCGAAGCUACCAUCUGAGGGAUUAUGACUGAACGCCUCUAAGUCAGAAUCCCACCUAGACAAGGCAACGAUAAAUUUGCUCCCUGAUGUCGGGAGGCACUAUUAUGUAAUUAUGAACAUAUUCAUACUAUUACAGCUAAUGCCCCAUUAUAUGGCCUUGCUAUUUAAUCGAAUGGUUAAAUGGUUGCCAAAACCGGAUUACUCUGGUACAAUGUCGGGGCGCAAGAUCACUUGCAGACGACUUGAUUACUGGUCAAGGUGUUGUAAGCAGUAGAGCAGCCUCCAUACUGCGAUCUGUUGAGACUUAUCCUUUGAUUGGACGAUUUGU
rnacentral:ncRNA from 1 species